GAGUUUGAUCAUGGCUCAGAAUCAACGCUGGCGGCGUGCCUCAGACAUGCAAGUCGAACGAUUAAAGCUCUCUUCGGAGAGUGCAUAGAGUGGCGCACGGGUGAGUAACACGUAAGUAAUCUACCCUCGGGUGGGGAAUAACGUUCGGAAACGGACGCUAAUACCGCAUAAUGCAGCGGCACCGCAAGGUGACAGUUGUUAAAGAUUUAUUGCCUGGGGAGGAGCUUGCGGCAGAUUAGCUUGUUGAUAAGGUAACGGCUUACCAAGGCUACGAUCUGUAUCCGGUCUAAGAGGACGGUCGGACACACUGACACUGAAUAACGGGUCAGACUCCUACGGGAGGCAGCAGUCGGGAAUUUUGGGCAAUGGGGGAAACCCUGACCCAGCAACGCCGCGUGAAGGAUGAAGUAUUUCGGUAUGUAAACUUCGAAAGAAUAGGAAGAAUAAAUGACGGUACUAUUUAUAAGGUCCGGCUAACUACGUGCCAGCAGCCGCGGUAA
rnacentral:rRNA from 1 species